CACGACUUCCGGCUCGUCCUGAGUGAGAAAAGCUAACGCGAUAUCACUUUUUCCUCGACAGGUCCAUUGCAGAGUUUGAGUGUUUCCAUAACCACGUCCUGAUGUUUGCUAGGAAGCGUUUUAGCUUCAGUCCUGCGGUGAAUGAAGCUGGAAUUGUACUGACUACAAUGACCACAGAAGGUGUGAUGGAUCCACAGAAGGAGAAGGAUGUCUUCAGGACGUGGACUGAGAGCAGACGACCCACGUCACCUCAGAGUUCACCUCCAUCCACCUCAGAGCUCCUGGAGACACGAGUCAGCAGAGAGACCUACUCAACAUGGAGAAUCAUUACAGCGUCAGAGGCACAGACGUGGUCAGGGACAGAAGGCUGAGGUCCAGGCUGAGGUCCAGGCUGAGGUCCAGGCUGAGGUCCAGGCUGAGGUCCAGGGCUCACAAUUCAGUCCUGAAACAAACACUGAAGAAUCAAUCUGGCAAAGGAGUGAGUGUGUGAGGAGCUGGCGUUUAUAAGGAGGGCUGAUUGCAGGAGAUGAGGAGCAGCUGUAAUCACAGACAAGGCCCAGUUUAUGUCUUCAUCUCCCAGGACAAAUUAAGUCCCACCUGACCCAAAGCUCUAGAUACGAGGAUCUGAGACAGACAGGUUUGUGAGCGUGUGUGUGUGUGUGUGUCUGUGUGUGUUAAAUAGCAGGGUUCAUAGACCAUUGGUCCUCAGUUGACUCUUGGCUUGAACCUGUUCUGGAAAUUCAUCACUGACCUCACUGUUAACGUGAGAUGGACAGAGAAAUAACGUCUUACAUUUAACAUAAGACAAGGACACACUAUUAUCACUGCUUAUACAUGCUGUUGCCGUGUCGACAUAAUAAGAAGCAAGCACUGCAGCAGCGCUUUAAUUUUAUAUUCAAAAGUAAUAGUAUGAAAGCUGCUUGCAAAGCACUUUCCUGCUUUAAACUGCAAUGAACAAUAGUAGUAGUGGGUAGUUUUUGAAUUAAGGGCACAAUUAUGUUAUGUAGAGUGCCAUAAAAAUGGGCCACAGAGCUUCAUGUUUUAAUAAGAAGCAGAAGACUGCAAACAGUGUGUUGUGGUUUAUGUUAUUAGUAAAGACUGGGGUUACUGUGAACCUCAUAACUUUCAUUUUAAAAUUUAAAGUAUGUAAUGAAUGUAACUGCCCAACAGUCAAGAUGGUGCACACAGGUUCCAUAACACGUUUGUGUCCAGUAUAAUUAUCAAAACUGUGUCUAAGCACAGUCUUUAUAACCCUAACCCUAUGCAUUAGUCUCCUAAAGAUGGAAACUCAAAUCUGUGACAAAUCCAAUUAUAAAUAUAUAUAUAUAUAUUUAUGAAACUUGUGUAAAAAACACACUAAAGUUGGGACAGUCUGCAAUAUCAGUUAUAUAAUGCUGUUCUGAAAGGUUCACUGCUAACAGGUGAGGAUAUGGAAAUUGUGUAGAAAUAAGCAUCCACCAAAGAUUUAGCCUUUGCAAGCAGGGACGGGUCUAAGACACCAAGUUCUGUCUGUCACCAUGUACAAUUCACAAUAUUGUGAGAAGGUUCAGGAAGUCAGGGGAAAUGUUGGUGCGUAGAGGCUCCAAGGAUGAAAACUGCGACAGAAUAUUUGUGAACAUCAAAACCUCAGGUGGUAUUAUGAUGUGAGAAAUAUGAUAAGAUAUGAGAAAAAGCUCCUGUGAUGGACAUAGCCAAAUGGUCUUGGGAAUCAUUGACACUUAUCACACCUGAAACUGUAUUAACCAGAGCCAAAGCCAUCCCUCACAGCAAUGCUGUCAAGUUCUCAUGUGAGAUGGAAUCAAAGACAGUGGAAACAUUCCAGCUCGAUUUGAGAUGCAGAGGAUUAUACUGCAGCGACGGAGGCUCCUUUCACAACUUUUACCAGAAACUCCAACACUGGCAAUUUCAACAGGACAAUGUCAGACUAUAGUCCCUAAAUGUUAUCAGUGCUAAGCAGUGCAUCAGAAAUGCACAACAGCACAUAACAUAAUUUCAUAACAUAUUUUGUUUUUCUUCUUUGUCUCAAGGGUGGUUGUACUUGGUCACAUGACCAUUAUUUCAUACAACAUGGUGAAAAGCAGCUUGAAUUUAAAAAUACUGUUAAAUUUUGAUUAAACAGUAUUAUGAUUCUGUUGCCUGUUUAGUUACUUGUUCAUCUCUAUGUUUUAUGGAGCAAUUCUCAUGCAGAACCUAAACAUGUUAAAAAUGCAUGAAAAG